AGAGUUUAUAUAUGUUAUCUCGCUUAGCAAUGCUAUCAUUAGGUGUUCUUAUCUCCAUAAAAACAGGGAAAUAGACACUUUGAGAAGUAUUCUGCUCAAGUGUGGAGCUGGUGAACACAGGACCCGGACUCAAACCUGCAUCCAUGUGACUCAUGCCUGCUCCACUAUUCAGUCAAGACAGACAUAAGGCAUGAACAUGUUAUUUCAGCUGUCAAAGUAAUGAAAUCAAUAGCCAAGAGCUCGUACUAAUUCAGUAUUAUUGAAGACAAAGCAACUUAGCACAGGAUUUGAAUAGGUUUGUAUGUUUCGUUAAGCUCAU
rnacentral:lncRNA from 1 species